GCGGGCGUAGCUCAGUGGUAGAGCUCCUGCUUCCCAAGCAGGUGGUCGUGGGUUCGAAUCCCAUCGCCCGCUCCA
rnacentral:tRNA from 1 species